rnacentral:rRNA from 1 species
AUUGAACGCUGGCGGAAUGCUUUACACAUGCAAGUCGAACGGCAGCACGGACUUCGGUCUGGUGGCGAGUGGCGAACGGGUGAGUAAUAUAUCGGAACGUGCCCAGUCGUGGGGGAUAACGUAGCGAAAGCUACGCUAAUACCGCACACGAUCUACGGGUGAAAGCGGGGGAUCGCAAGACCUCGCGCGAUUGGAGAGGCCGAUAUCAGAUUAGGUAGUUGGUGAGGUAAAGGCUCACCAAGCCGACGAUCUGUAGCUGGUCUGAGAGGACGACCAGCCACACUGGGACUGAGACACGGCCCAGACUCCUACGGGAGGCAGCAGUGGGGAAUUUUGGACAAUGGACGCAAGUCUGAUCCAGCCAUUCCGCGUGCAGGACGAAGGCCUUCGGGUUGUAAACUGCUUUUGUACAGAACGAAAAGGUCUCUAUUAAUACUAGGGGCUCAUGACGGUACUGUAAGAAUAAGCACCGGCUAACUACGUGCCAGCCGCCGCGGUAA